AUCCAUAUCAUGUCAACCCCUAUUCUGUGGAUCUUGGAUGCUUUUUAAAAGGCAGCCCGGAGGCAGGAAGUCCUAUUGGUAUGUUACCAUUUCGGUGCUAAUGGAUGAUCUGUCUGAAAAGAACAAAGCUGCUGCUUUGGUUUUGGUCUCGAGACUGACCACAAAUGUUCAUGUCCCAAGCCUGCUGGAUUUUAUUUGACUGCUUUAGUAACAAAAAUACUUUUAUUACAGCAAUGCCAAGAAGCCAGACUGAAACCAUACUGUACUCAAGACACUGCACUGAGAGAAGAGCACAAAAAGGCAGAAAAAGAGAGAGAGCCACUAACAAAGUGAUGUUUUUCUGGGCCUCACCUCGCUUAACAACCUGCCUUCUUUAUUCUUCUGCCUCCAUGGGAAGAACGGACAAUCAAGAUUUCUAUAGGAUGAAGGAAGUUGAGAAAAGCUUUCAACUGGGAGUGGGGAAAAGAGAAAGCGACAAAGCCCACUUAGCUAAGAGGGCUGCAGACAGAAGGAGUUUGGAAAGCCCCAUAUGCUCUCCCCUCUCCCCUUUCUGUAGCUCCAUCUGUCCCACACCCUCCCUUCUGCAGCGAGGCCAUGCCAAUGUCAUUUUGGGGCUGGAGCAGGGCAGACAUCCCCAGAGCUGCACAAGAGCAGAGGGACACUAAACGAUGCUAAGGAGAAUGUGAGCAGGGGUAUUCUGGAGUUGGGGAAAUGGAAAAAGAUCCACACUAUCAGGAAGAUUUUGGGGUGAAUCUCUGUAAGAUGAUCUUGUCUGGGAAAUUCUGGCAGUAUAACCCCAGGCAUUUUAUGCUUUACAUUUCAGAGAGCUGGCAAGAGGAAAAGCCCUGCAGCGUGUGUGUGCCUGUGGCAAUUUCAAAAGUCAAGUGGUCAGCUCAAACGGAGCUCACAGCUUUUGGGCCCCUCAUCAAAUCAGUGUGGGAGGUCUGAUGGAGGGAUCUGACAUGUGGCUGUGCUCCCAGGUCGCCUCUCAGAGCGCCCACUUGUACAGUCGCCCAUAUGUUACGCCCAGACUGCACUGAGAUGGAUGUACUCGGGCGUGGGGAUCAGGCUUCUGCCUGAACACAGCAGGUAGCAGGGGUACCUCUACCUGCCACAACACUGGCUAUAAGCAACUUCGUAAUUUCAGACUUUGAGCACUAGAAAAAGCACAAUAAGCUCUUAUUCCUUAUGUAAGAAUUUUUGAAAAAGCAUUUUAAGCAACAAGGCAAAUUUGAUAGAAGUUUGAUGGAGACAUCUUUUCCCAAACCCGUAGAGCCCUCCAUAGCAAUCGGAACGGGAUAUUCCUCUGUGUUCUCAUUGCUUUGGACAACGCUGGGCAGGGCAUCUGCCGAGCAGUUUCCUACACAGCACCCUUGUCUCCAUGGGGGACAAGCACCAGGGGCAGCUAACAAUGCAGGGAGAAGAUCUGAAGGAGGUCAGCAGGACACCGCAGGAUUACAUUAUUAUGCCAGCUCAGUCAUUCAGCUGAACACAUGUUAAAUUCAGCAGCUGGCUUGUGGCCAACCUUCUCUUUCUCCUCAAGUCUGAAUAGCCACCAGCGGGCUCACACACGGUCACCCCUGCACCAGACAGGCUGGCUGGUGCUGUCUGUGCGUGCUGCUGGGGCUUCCUCUGCACUGCACAGCCCUCACCUCACGGUGACAUCUGCUGAGGAGCAGGGUGGGCAGCUCCCGAGGGGGCUGCUCCUGCACUCUCCUACAUGAGAACAGGAGGUUUUCCUCCGACUACACUGGAGAGGGGAUCGGGCCCCCCUUGCUGAACAAGCGCCUACCAAUUAGUGACACUUGCUGAUCCUAUCUGUGGAGAAUCAUUAUGAAAAAUGCAAAGCAUUAUGCAGCCACUAUUAAUCUUCUGCCUUUGUUGCAUUUGCUCAUGGUUUAUGGCCCUCCAAGGAGGAUAAAUGAUCAAGGCAUGUACUCACAUUGUUAUUUGCCUAUUUGUCUGUGCAACAAUACACGUGCUCAGCACUAAGUAGAAGUUAUUUUUCAUAGGGAAUGCAGCUU